UACGUAGGGGGCAAGCGUUGUCCGGAAUCAUUGGGCGUAAAGAGCGUGUAGGCGGUCCUGUAAGUCCGCUGUGAAAGUCAGGGGCUCAACCCUUGAAUGCCGGUGGAUACUGCAGGACUAGAGUCCGGAAGAGGCGAGUGGAAUUCCUGGUGUAGCGGUGAAAUGCGUAGAUAUCAGGAGGAACACCGGUGGCGAAGGCGGGUCUCUGGGCCGAUACUGACGCUGAGGAGCGAAAGCGUGGGGAGCAAACAGG
rnacentral:rRNA from 1 species